GAUGAACGCUGACAGAAUGCUUAACACAUGCAAGUCUACUUGAACUUCGGUUUGGGUGGCGGACGGGUGAGUAACGCGUAAAGAACUUACCUCACAGUUAGGGACAACAUUUGGAAACGAAUGCUAAUACCUGAUAUUAUGAUUUUAGGGCAUCCUAAGAUUAUGAAAGCUAUAUGCGCUGUGAGAGAGCUUUGCGUCCCAUUAGCUAGUUGGAGAGGUAACGGCUCACCAAGGCGAUGAUGGGUAGCCGGCCUGAGAGGGUGAACGGCCACAAGGGGACUGAGACACGGCCCUUACUACUACGGGAGGCAGCAGUGGGGAAUAUUGGACAAUGGACCAAAAGUCUGAUCCAGCAAUUCUGUGUGCACGAUGACGUUUUUCGGAAUGUAAAGUGCUUUCAGUUGGGAAGAAAAAAAUGACGGUACCAACAGAAGAAGUGACGGCUAAAUACGUG
rnacentral:rRNA from 1 species